GGCUAGUCCAAGUGCGGUGGUGUUUACAGCUAAUUAAUCACAACCAGUUACAGAGUCCUUUGUUCCUCCACUCUCACCUCUCACUGCUUCACUUGACUAGCCUAAA
ensembl:misc_RNA Y_RNA Y RNA